rnacentral:misc_RNA from 1 species
AAGUCGUAACAAGGUUUCCGUAGGUGAACCUGCGGAAGGAUCAUUAUUGAAUAACGCUUGGUACUGUGCUGGCCUUCGGGCAUGUGCACGUAUCAUUCAUUAUUACUUAUCUCUUGUGAACCUAGUGUAGUCGUUUGCUCGUUAGUUUGAAGUGUUUGCCUGGGGAAGCUGGUCGUAAUGGACUGGCGGAACAUGGGCGCUUCGCUUUGAAUGAAGGGUAGACUUCUAUGAUUUAUAUACCUAUUAAAGUCUUAGAAUGUACAUUUAUUGACCGCAAGGUCAGUAAACCUUAUACAACUUUCAACAACGGAUCUCUUGGCUCUC